rnacentral:rRNA from 1 species
AGCGCAGGUGGGCUGUCAAGUCUGUCUUAAAAGUGCGGGGCUUAACCCCGUGAUGGGAUAGAAAACUGGCAGUCUUGAGUGCAGGAGAGGAAAGCGGAAUUCCUAGUGUAGCGGUGAAAUGCGUAGAUAUUAGGAGGAACACCAGUGGCGAAGGCGGCUUUCUGGACUGUAACUGACACUGAGGCUCGAAAGCGAGGGGAGCGAACG